GGUGCAGGCAAUGCUCACGGGAGCCGGGCUCCAGCUGCGAAGCUGGCACCCGGAGCUGGAGUUUCCUGAACUUUGGGGGUACUCGGGUGUGGGGUUUUCCCGCUCCUGCAAAGCGAAGAGGUCUCCGCUACAAAGUUUGGAUCUGGGAGCUGGUGCAGCCGCGCCAGGGGAGGACUCAGCUUUACCUGCAUAGAGCAGCUUUGAGAAGGUGAUCUUAUUGCCUGAUGUGACAGUGAAAUUACUAGCCACGAUGCCAAGCCUCAAAGUGGUGGCGGUAUUGUACCCUUCCCAAUUUCUCCCCCACCCAUCCAAAGAAGAAUGAACAUGGUAGAAAUGACUGCUUGUUUGCCCUGGAAGACAAAAUGCUAGUGAAGAAGCAUGAACUGUUGCAAUAUUUACAUUCUGGAGAAAGUCAAACCAUAAUUUCAAGUCAAUUCACAGGUGUGCGAGGCCAUUCGCCAGCUCCCUCUCUGUGGUAGAUGGUAGUGAGCCUAAUGCAACCCUGGAGGACCUGAGAUAAUGAGUUAAACCAUUAUAAUGUUUGGGGAGUUUGUAUUAUGAGGGAAAUGAAUGGGAAAAGCCAGAGUGUUUGCUGGGUCACGUGGUAAAAUUAACAGCAUCGUUUUUCAAGCUGAAGUGUGAAUAUUUGCCGAACCAUAAUUGUGUUUAUUGGGUCAUAUGUUACUGCUCAGGAUAAAAGGAGAAAUGAAUUAUGGUUGACACUGCCUAGUUGCCUCUGCCCUAGUAUUCAAGUUGCAGAGGAGGAAUUACGCAGAGGCAGGGCUAAGUGAUAAUACAGGCUUGUGGUAGGUCUGUUUGGCCUGGGACAGACUCGUGAUACACGUCUCCCAUUCAGAAGGGCCCUGGAUAACAGCAGGCUUCCUCUGUUACUGGAAGACAGGGCUGUAACUAGCCAUGUGAAAUUUGGAUGAGUCACCGAUUUCCCCUCCCCACUCACCGCACAGGGGUUGAAGCUCAUCCAUGGAUAAGGAGCCAGUGCAAGGCCUGUGCACUGCUUAACUCCUUAA